CCCCUCAUUACUUGGCCUCCCAUAACUAGGCCUCCUCGGUGGCUCCUCCACCUCCGGACUCUCGUAGCUCGGCCUCCCAUACUGUGGCUUCCUGGGGGACCCUUCCCCACCAUAACCAUACCCGCCACCUUGUUCCUCUCCGAAGCUAGGUUUCCGACCGUACCCAGAUCCAUAUUCAGAACUCGGUGCUUCGUACUCAGGCCUCCGACCAUACCCAGAUCCAUACUCCGAACUGGGCUGCUCGAACUCGGGCCUCCGACCAUACCCAGAUCCAUACUCCGAACUAGGUUGCUCGUAUUCAGGCUUCCGACCGUACCCAGAUCCAUAUUCCGUGCUAGGCUGUUCGUAUUCAGGCUUCCGACCGUACCCAGAUCCAUAUUCCGAGCUAGGCUGUUCGUAUUCAGGCUUCCGACCGUACCCAGAUCCAUAUUCCGAGCUAGGCUGUUCGUAUUCAGGCUUCCGACCGUAGCCAGAUCCAUAUUCCGAGCUAGGCUGUUCGCAUUCAGGCUUCCGACCGUACCCGGAUCCGUACUCCGAACUGGGUUCCUCGUAAUCAGGCUUCCGCCCAUGCCCAGAUCCAUACUCACCCUCCCCACCAAAACUCGACGGCGGCUUCGGCUGAUACCCAUACUCACCACCAUCACCACUGCCUCCGAACCCUCCUUGGCCAGGAGGUGGUCCGGCGUAACCAAGGACCGGACGAGGCUUGGGACGAGCAUAGCUCUUGUAUUCAUUCUCAAGAGCUUCAUCACC
rnacentral:lncRNA from 1 species